GUAACAUCUGAUCUCCCAGUAAGAGAGUUCUUCUCCUGUGUCCAGAACUAUCAAAAAGCAGCAGUACCUAGCCAAAGGUCAACAACGCGAUUUGAUGUUCCACGGGGAGAGUGUGGUGGAGCCUGGAAACCGACGCGAGCCAUCUGACGUCAGAGCUUCCAGAAUUAACUGAGACGUGCCAUGCCCUGAGCGCUGACCUCCUCGAUGUCCCCUCCAUCAGGUUCUCACACUUGCAUUUGGAUGGGUCUGCUUUGAGAUCAUUGAGUGAACACGUGGAGAGUGUCUUCCGUUGCGAUCGGUUGGAUAAAGCAGGGGACUUCAUCGUCAUAGUCUAGGGUGGGAAGGGGAAGUCAGCGGGACUCAGCUCUUCAGGGAGUCACCCCUCCGUCCCUGCCAGGCCCACCCAGUGGGCUACACCUGGACCAGUGGACAGCCUCCCUCCUUCUCCUCUUCACCCCCUGUGCUGUGGCCUGGGAGACCCUUGUCAAAAUCAGUCUGGCUUGGCUUACCCCAGGGCCUCCAAAAUGAUGUCCGAAGUCUUUAGUCUGGAAUUCAGGGUGCUAAGUCUCUGACCCCCACCUAUGACUCCGGUCUCAAGCUCUGGGCUCCAGCCUCCACGAACUCACCGUCUGCAAAUACACCAAGCUCCCCCACACCUGUGCAGCGACAUAGAAUGCCCCUCUUCGACCUGGGGGGCUCCCCUUCACCCCUCACCUUUACAAAGAGCCCCAUUAGCCCUCCCGGUCAAUCCCUCUUUUAGUUCAUUGUGGCCUCUUAUUCGGACCUCCACGGUCUCACGUGGGUGGUAGUGAUGUGUCAGGGGUAGUUCCUAACGGCGAGGAUUGCAUUGGGUGGUGUGGGGCAAUGUCCACCUUUGUAGGAAAUACACACGAAGAAUUCCACGUGGAAGGGCAUCAAGUCAACAACUUACUGGCCUUGGGCUGUGGUCCCCAAACCCUGUGCCAAGGCGUUCCCAGAACACUGUAGUGGACCCUUAGAGGAGCCACAGGACGUCUUACGUUUUUUGAGGGAAACACGGAAACAUUAGGAAGCCUCUAUUAACACAGCAACUGUUAAUCAACCCAAAUGUCUAUCUGUUGGCGAUGGGCACAUCCUUGCAGCAGGCCAUAUGUGGCUCUGUGAUGAUUGAGGUCACAGGAGCCCCACCUAAUAAGGGGAACUACUAGCUAUUUCCUUUGCCCUAGGAGCCCCAGAAAUCGUGACUGGGACCCCGAGGGUGCCACUUGCCACGGAAGUUUGGGAACCUCCAGUUCA